rnacentral:snoRNA from 1 species
GGGUUGAUGAGAAUAAUUCAUAUGGUUCUGAAGAGAGAAAAAUCACCUAAAAAUCAUGUUCAAGAGAAGUAUGCUGAGGCCC